AGAGAGAGACAUGCGCGCAUAUCAAUAAGCGGAGGAAAAGAAACUAACUAGGAUUCCCUCAGUAACGGCGAGUGAAGCGGGAAGAGCUCAAAUUUGAAAUCUUCAAGGUUCUACCUUGACGAAUUGUAGUUUAAAGAAGUGUUUUCUGUUGGAGUUUUGGUAAAAGUUCUUUGGAAUAGGACAUCAUAGAGGGUGAGAAUCCCGUAUUUGACCAUUAUUUCCAGCUUUGUGAUACACUUUCAAAGAGUCGGAUUAUUUGGGAAUGCAGUCCAAAAUGGGUGGUAAAUUUCAUCUAAAGCUAAAUAUUGGCGAGAGACCGAUAGCGAACAAGUACCGUGAGGGAAAGAUGAAAAGAACUUUGAAAAGAGAGUUAAACAGUACGUGAAAUUGUCAAAAGGGAAGCGUUUGACACCAGUGUUGUUUUCUCGAAAAUCAAUUAAAAAAGGCAGGAUUUUGUGUUGUAUUGACUUUAUCAGCUUUCUGCAUCUCUUUUCUUGUCUUUUUUAAUGCACUUUUCGUUUAACAAGUCAACAUCAAUUUCUUUUGUUGUAAAAGGGUCAUUGGAAGGUGGCUUUCUUUUCGGAGAAAGUGUUUAUAGCCUUUGGCCUCUGCAAUCGGAGAGAUUGAGGUCUGCAGCGUAGAUCCUUCGGGGUUAGAUACAUUUGUGCUAAGUUAUAGCCUUUUCAUAGACAACUUGUUGACUAUGAUCUGUCAUGUAGCUUACUCGCUUAUGCUAUUUUACCUACGCUUAGGAUGUUGAUGUGAUACUGCGAGCA
rnacentral:rRNA from 1 species